CUAUGCGUGGCCACGUGAAGGAAGGAUUGGAGCCCAGAGCUGGGGCGGGGUUGGCUCCUGCCUGCUAGCUGGAGAAACCUAAGCAAGAAGUUGGAGGGUCUAAAAGGAGCUCUUUCACUUGCAUCUCCUCAUACAGAGAAGUGGUACUUACCUGCCCACGCCACACCUUUUCCUCUGGAAAUUUCUGCCGCUCGACCCCACUUGAGAAGAGAAUGUGGCUAUAUGUGGGUGUCAGGCUUCCUAUUUUAAGUCUUCCACUAGCAGCCUUUGGAUGAAG